rnacentral:rRNA from 1 species
AGUGAACGCUGGCGGUAGGCCUAACACAUGCAAGUCGAACGGCAGCACAGUAAGAGCUUGCUCUUACGGGUGGCGAGUGGCGGACGGGUGAGGAAUACAUCGGAAUCUACUUUUUCGUGGGGGAUAACGUAGGGAAACUUACGCUAAUACCGCAUACGACCUACGGGUGAAAGCAGGGGAUCUUCGGACCUUUCGCGAUUGAAUGAGCCGAUGUCGGAUUAGCUAGUUGGCGGGGCAAAGGCACACCAAGGCGACGAUCCGUAGCUGGUCUGAGAGGAUGAUCAGCCAGACUGGAACUGAGACACGGUCCAGACUCCUACGGUGGGACGCAGUGGGGAAUCUUGGACAAUGGGCGCAAGCCUGAUCCAGCCAUACCGCGUGGGUGAAGAAGGCCUUCGGGUUGGAAAGCCCUUUUGUUGGGAGAGAAAAGCAGCAGGUUAAUACCCCGCUGUUCUGACGGUACCCAAAGAAUAAGCACCGGCUAACUUCGUG